UAAGGAAUAUUGGUCAAUGGACGCAAGUCUGAACCAGCCAUGCCGCGUGAAGGAUUAAGGUCCUCUGGAUUGUAAACUUCUUUUAUCUGAGACGAAACCCCUCUAUUCUUGGAGGCCUGACGGUACCAGAUGAAUAAGCACCGGCUAACUCCGUGCCAGCAGCCGCGGUAAUACGGAGGGUGCAAGCGUUAUCCGGAUUUACUGGGUUUAAAGGGUGCGUAGGUGGGUAUGUAAGUCAGUGGUGAAAUCCCCGAGCUUAACUUGGGAACUGCCGUUGAUACUAAAUAUCUUGAAUAUCGUAGAGGUAAGCGGAAUAUGUCAUGUAGCGAUGAAAUGCUUAGAGAUGACAUAGAACACCGAUUGCGAAGGCAGCUUACUAUGCGAUUAUUGACACUGAGGCACGAAAGCGUGGGGA
rnacentral:rRNA from 1 species